GUAGUUGGAUCUUGGGAUCGAGUUGGCGGUCCGCCGCGAGGCAAGCUACCACCUGUCCCAGCCCCUGCCUCUCGGCGCUCGUAACUGAGUGUCCCGGGGGUCCGAAGCAUUUACUUUGAAUAAAUUAGAGUGUUCAAAGCAGGCCGGUCGCUGGAAUACUCCAGCAAGGAAUAAUGGAAUAGGACUCCGGUUCUAUUUUGUUGGUUUUUUCGGAACUGGGGCCAUGAUUAAGAGGGACGGCCGGGGGCAUUCGUAUUGUGCCGCUAGAGGUGAAAUUCUUGGAUCGGCGCAAGACGAACCAGAGCGAAAGCAUUUGCCAAGAAUGUUUUCAUUAAUCAA